AGAACGAACGCUGGCGGCAUGCCUAACACAUGCAAGUCGAACGAGACCUUCGGGUCUAGUGGCGCACGGGUGCGUAACGCGUGGGAAUCUGCCCUUGGGUUCGGAAUAACUCAGAGAAAUUUGAGCUAAUACCGGAUAAUGUCUUCGGACCAAAGAUUUAUCGCCUUUAGAUGGGCCCGCGUUGGAUUAGCUAGUUGGUGGGGUAAAGGCCUACCAAGGCGACGAUCCAUAGCUGGUCUGAGAGGAUGAUCAGCCACACUGGGACUGAGACACGGCCCAGACUCCUACGGGAGGCAGCAGUGGGGAAUAUUGGACAAUGGGCGAAAGCCUGAUCCAGCAAUGCCGCGUGAGUGAUGAAGGCCUUAGGGUUGUAAAGCUCUUUUACCCGAGAUGAUAAUGACAGUAUCGGGAGAAUAAGCUCCGGCUAACUCCGUG
rnacentral:rRNA from 1 species